GUGGGGGCCGUUGGUUGGUGCGCGGUUGAGGGGUGUGGCGCGAGCAGCGCCGUUGGUUGGCCGGCGGCGGGCCGGGACGGGCAUGGCCCUGCUGCUGUGCCUGGUGGGCGUGACGGCGGCGCUGGCCCACGGCUGUCUGCACUGUCACAGCAAGUUCUCCGAGAAGUUCUCCUUCUACCGCCACCAUGUGAACCUCAAGUCCUGGUGGGUGGGCGACAUCCCCGUGUCAGGGGCGCUGCUCACCGACUGGAGCGACGACACGAUGAAGGAGCUGCACCUGGCCAUCCCCGCCGAGAUCACCCGGGAGAAGCUGGACCAAGUGGCGACAGCAGUGUACCAGAGAAUGGAUCAGCUGUACCAGGGGAAGAUGUACUUCCCGGGGUAUUUCCCCAACGAGCUGCGCAACAUCUUCCGGGAGCAGGUGCACCUCAUCCAGAACGCCAUCAUUGAAAGUCGCCUCGACUGUCAGCGCCACUGUGGCAUCUUCCAGUACGAGACCAUCUCCUGCAACAACUGCACAGACUCGCACGUCGCCUGCUUUGGCUAUAACUGCGAGUCCUCGGAGCAGUGGGAGUCAGCUGUCCAGGGCCUGCUGAACUACAUAAAUAACUGGCACAAGUAAGUCCCCUCCUCAAACCGACACAGGCAGUGUGCGUGUGUGAGCACCUCGUGGACAGGACGUGAGCAUGAGGUAAGGCUGCCUUGACCUGGCCUUCAGGGGAAGGGAGUAAAGGAAGCGGGGGGACUGGGGGUCCUCUAGGUCAGUGGGGGCACCGCAGGUGGGGCUCUCCCUAUACCUGGGACACCUGCUGGAUGUCUCCUCUGCAACCACACCCAUGUGGUGGUUUCAUGAACAAACUACGCUCCUCCUCCUUCUCCUGGCCUGGGAUGCACAGAGCCACCCCAGCCUUCCUGGUAUCGCCGGCCUUCAGGUGUCUGGAGCCCCCACACCUGGCCAACCUGACCUUGGAAGAUGCUGCUGAGUGUCUCAAGCAGCACUGACAGCAGCCGGGCCUGCCCCAGCGCAACGUGGGGCCAGGACUCAGCUGGACAGCCCCCGCCUGUCCCUCUGGAGCUGGGCUGCUGCUGCCUCAGGACCCCCCCUCCAACCCCGGACAGAGCCUGAGCUGGCCAGGGCUGGGAGGGCGGGAGGGAGGGAGCCGUGUACAGCGUCAGCGCCUGGGCAGGUCUGCGGAGCUGCGAGACGUGAUGAUUAAAGUCCCUGAUGUUUCUC